AGACUGUAGGAGCUCAUGGCUUCCCCUCUCAAGCAAAGCCCAAGUCUGACUCCAUCAAGAAAGAAGGUCCAAAGUGGGAACCCUCCAGACUGAAUGAAGGCAGCACGUUUGUUCUGGGUUCCAGAGCCAACAAGGCGCUGGGGAUGGGCGGGACCAGAGGACGCAUCUACAUCAAACACGCUGACCUGUUCAAGGUA